AGAAAAACAAGCGGUGACGCCAUUUUACGACGACUUUUCUGUGCGUUAGCUGCUCUUUUAUCAAACUUACACAUCGAGAGAUAAUGUCGCACAGUCGCAGCGAUUGUAGAAUCUACGUGGGCAACUUGCCGCCAGACAUACGCAGCAAGGACAUUCAGGAUCUGUUCUAUAAAUUCGGUAAAGUAUUGUUUGUUGAUUUGAAGAAUCGACGCGGCCCGCCGUUUGCUUUCGUGGAGUUUGAAGAUGCCCGUGAUGCGGACGAUGCAGUUCAUGCCAGAGAUGGAUACGACUAUGAUGGAUAUCGCCUUAGAGUAGAAUUCCCAAGAGGUGGUGGCCCAGGUGGAUUCCGCGGUGGUCGCGGAGGCGGUGGUGGUGGCGGAGGAGGCGGCGGCGGUGAUCGCGGUCGGUCAUCCCGCGGACCGCCAGCCAGACGCUCACAAUUCCGUGUUCUGGUCACUGGAUUGCCACCUUCUGGAUCUUGGCAGGAUUUGAAGGAUCACAUGAGAGAGGCUGGUGAUGUUUGCUUUGCUGAUGCAUUCAAGGAUGGGUCUGGUGUGGUUGAAUUCUUGAGGUAUGAGGAUAUGAAGUAUGCAAUUAAGAAGUUGGAUGAUUCAAGGUUUAGAUCACAUGAGGGAGAAGUAUCAUACAUUAGAGUAAAAGAAGAUCGCGGUGCAUCAGAGAGGAAGUCUGGAGGACGAUCAAGAAGUCGCUCCUUUUCUCCGAGACGACGAGGCUCACCAACUUACAGCCCCGUGAAGCGCAGCUAUUCGCGUAGCCGCUCUCGCUCUUAAGCGAACGCGUCCAUCGCCGCAAAAGCGACGAGAGAUUAACUAAAACACGAUUGGCAGGAUGAAAACGGAAAGCUUGCGCGACGCGCGCGCAAGAGGAUUUGCGGCUGUAAACUUGUGGGGGAGAAAGGAAUUGCGUGGAUGGUCAGGAUUAGGAUAACAAAAAACUCGGACACGCGUUGCUCUCUUCUGCGUCCGGCGCUCGCUCAGAUCGUAAUCACUUCAUCGUGGAGAACCUAGACCAGGAUCAAAACUCUGUGUAGGACCCGAUUUUCGUAACUCAAAUAAAAUUCAAUCACAUAAAGACACCUUAAAAAGCAUCAGACACACAGUUACACGAAUUUAAACCUAAUUUAUAAAAAAAAAACGUACACGAAAGUCGCCGGCCCGAAAAAGGACUUCGUGGGACUUAGGGAUGCGUAGGAUGAGGCCAGGACUAAGGACUCUGGAUGAAGUGAGCGGACGCGAAAGGCGGACAGGAAACAGGAGCGCGGAGGGAGAGGAUGCCCCCGAAGGAGGCGUGUGGUGGGACGUACGGAAGGAUAAUGUGCAGGAUUAAGUAGGAUAAGGCAUGCGCGCAGUCAGAUUUUGCCCCCAGAACAAAAAAACGACAAGUAAAUUGCUCUAAGUCUGUGAACUUGAUGAUGAUGAUGAUGAGGACGAAGGUGGUUUAAUUAUGUAUCUGACGAGGUGGACACAAAUCAAAUGAGUUGUAUAUUUUAUUUUGUCGACAACUUGCUGUUUUCGAAAAUUACGACUAUUUACUAAUUGAUUUUUCUUCAAUAUGAUUCCAAUUGAUUUUCAUAUGUAAUUGAUUAAAGCAUUAAAGAACUUUGAAUCUUUUAAA